GGUUGGACAAUGAAACUGAAACACCUGUCAUCAUUUUAGUGUGGGAUUUUAGGUUUCAUGGCUAAAUUGGAGCAGCCUGGUGUUCAAUCUUCAUUAAUUGCACAUUGCACCAGUAAGAGCAGUAAGAGUGUGAAGGUUCAAUUAGCAGGGUAAGAGCACAGUUCUGCUCUAAAUAUUACAAUGCACACAACAUUAUGGGGGACAUACCAGAGUUCAAAAGAGGACAAAUUGUUGGUGCACGUCUUGCUGGAGCAUCUGUGACCAAGACAGCAAGUCUUUGUGAUGUAUCAAGAGCCACGGUAUCCAGGGUAAUGUCAGCACACCACCAAGAAGCACCAACCACAUCCAACAGGAUUAACUGUGGAUGCUGUAAGAGGAAGUUGUCUGAAAGGGAUGUUCGGGUGCUAACCUGGAUUGUAUCCAAAAAACAUAAAACCACGGCUGAUCAAAUCACGCAUAAUUCAAUGUGCACCUCAACUCUCCUGUUUCCACCAGAACUGUCCGUCACCACAAUCAAUUAUUGUGCUCUAAAACCAGGUGUUUCAGUUUUAUUUUCCAACCCCUGUAUUAUGAAGCCUUUAUGUAGUAGCCAUCAAAUAAAGUGUUACCCGAGUGUUUUUCCCUUUUGUCUC